rnacentral:rRNA from 1 species
AGUGAACGCUGGCGGUAGGCCUAACACAUGCAAGUCGAACGGCAGCACAGUAAGAGCUUGCUCUUACGGGUGGCGAGUGGCGGACGGGUGAGGAAUACAUCGGAAUCUACUUUUUCGUGGGGGAUAACGUAGGGAAACUUACGCUAAUACCGCAUACGACCUACGGGUGAAAGCAGGGGAUCUUCGGACCUUGCGCGAUUGAAUGAGCCGAUGUCGGAUUAGCUAGUUGGCGGGGUAAAGGCCCACCAAGGCGACGAUCCGUAGCUGGUCUGAGCGGAUGAUCAGCCACACUGGAACUGGGACACGGUCCAGACUCCUACGGGAGGCAGCAGUGGGGAAUAUUGGACAAUGGGCGCAAGCCUGAUCCAGCCAUACCGCGUGGGUGAAGAAGGCCUUCGGGUUGUAAAGCCCUUUUGUUGGGAAAGAAAAGCAGCAGGUUAAUACCCCGCUGUUCUGACGGUACCCAAAGAAUAAGCACCGGCUAACUUCGUG